rnacentral:lncRNA from 1 species
AGUGGAGGCUCUGAGAGGAGCUAGCUCCUUGCCUAUCUCCUCUCUAGCGCACUCAGAUGCCUUCCCAUCCUGAGGCUGGCCUUCUGGACAGUUAGGAAAUGCAGAUCUGAGGAGUGCCUGUCCUGUGUAUACUAUAGCUUGUUUGAGAAAGGGUCAGAGCUAAGUCCUAACCACAGUCCCCUCCCUGCCCACCUUGUGUUUAGGCUGAGGACAGACAACCUUAAAGGCCAUUUUUCAAAUAACCCUUUACCCCUGGUGGCUAAGGGAAGAUAUCCACAGGAAGAUACACGAAAUCGAUUUUCUUCUUCGAGUUGGCUAAUCCCUGUUGCAUCUCCCAUCAGGGAAAGGUUAGCUUGGUGGCUUUAGUAAGGGCCACCUCUGUUUAUUAAGCCCAAGGUUUUCAUGAGUGAGCUUGGGCAGGAGGUCCCUGGGGCGGGAUGAGAGACAGAUGACCAGCGAUUUGGAAUCUCUUGGCUACUUUGGUUUCUAGAGGGGCACAGAGGUCUCGGGUUAAGUUAGGAGUGUGAAGCAUUGGGGAAGGAGACGUUUAGUCUUCAUUGGCUCUGUUAGUAUCUGAGCUGACGCUGGCUAUCUUGUACUACUGUGGACUGCUUUGGGAAAGGGUCUCUGGCCCCUGGUGAUAUUCUAAUCUCUGGAGUCACAGGGUCUCCACUGCUAUCUCUUGGCCUGGUUGAAGGGUGAUGCGAACUUCUCCCAGUGGGCACAAGAGGUGAGAAGCCAUUCCAGGACUUUAAUCUCACCUUUCCCACAUCCUCCAAAGGAUGGCUGAGAGCUUCAGCCUCCAUCUCUGGAAAUCUCUACAAAUGAAGAGCCUUCCUUUUACGCCUUUGGAUAUUUUCCCCAUUGGACCUUGGGACCCAGCACCAUCUCUUGCUGACUGAACAACCUAGAGUUUUUGCCUUGAGCUGCUUAGCUACCGUGCCCAGGAUGAAGGCUGACACAGCUUUCCCGAGGUUAGAAAAAGGGCUGCAGAUCUGGGAAGCUGUGUGUAAUGGGCCGAAGAUGAAUUUCCAUCCGGCUUGCUCUGCUGCUCUGAAAAGCAAACACAGCAACACGCAGAUGAACGGGAAGCCCAGCCCCCCUCUCCCCGGUCCCCUCUCAGGUGUGGUGUUGUGAUGGCACAUGUAGAGCUGUGUGGGCUACUGUCCUUCCAUCCUCUGGGGACGCUUUUUAUCUCUCUCGUAUGUCAAGUCCUGGUCUUGUGACUCUGAUUGUGAAAGGUGGUGUCAUGUCCCCACUCUGUCUGAGGGAUGGAUGGGAUUUUCAGUGUUGGAGGGAGGCUGCGCACAUCUUCCCUAAUCCCAAGAGCACACACUGGUUCUGACUCCCUAGAGAGCUGGUAUCUUGCAAGAGAAUCUGCAGGUUGGAAAUAGCCCGUAUCUGGAUUUUACCUCUCUGACGGGCUCACUUGAGAAGUGGGCUGUCUGGAAGGACUGCCUAGGUGUCAGGGCCUUCCUUCUUUCUGCCCUUCCUCCUCCCUGACUCAGUUUCCAUUCCUUGGAGAAGUCAGAGACUGUGAGCAUUGAGCAGCCUUUACCUCAGAACCCCUGGAUACCCCAGCCCCUCAGAGGGACCCCCGCACGUUAAUAAAGACUGGGCCACAGCCCCCUGUCUCUCCUUGCUGUGGUAAGCGUCUUGUCCUGUGACCGAUUAGCAGUGUUGGCUAUCCGUGUAGCAAAUCUUUUGUCUGCAAUUUAGAGAAUGUGUAAAUGAAUAAAAGCUUUAGAACUCUC